CCUACGGGUGGCAGCAGUGGGGAAUAUUGCACAAUGGGCGCAAGCCUGAUGCAGCCAUGCCGCGUGUGUGAAGAAGGCCUUCGGGUUGUAAAGCACUUUCAGCGGGGAGGAAGGCGUUGAGGUUAAUAACCUCAUCGAUUGACGUUACCCGCAGAAGAAGCACCGGCUAACUCCGUGCCAGCAGCCGCGGUAAUACGGAGGGUGCAAGCGUUAAUCGGAAUUACUGGGCGUAAAGCGCACGCAGGCGGUCUGUCAAGUCGGAUGUGAAAUCCCCGGGCUCAACCUGGGAACUGCAUUCGAAACUGGCAGGCUAGAGUCUUGUAGAGGGGGGUAGAAUUCCAGGUGUAGCGGUGAAAUGCGUAGAGAUCUGGAGGAAUACCGGUGGCGAAGGCGGCCCCCUGGACAAAGACUGACGCUCAGGAGCGAAAGCGUGGGGAGCAAACAGGAUUAGAUACCCGAGUAGUC
rnacentral:rRNA from 1 species